UUCCUAAUUUAUAACGAUGCGAUCUGCAGUUGGGGCCGGUCGUCACACGCAGCUCGCGGCCAGUUAGGGAAUGCGCACCGAUGUGGGUGCACGCGCUCUCGUCUCCGGAACUACGUUGAUUUCGUGUGUGUUUCGUAUUCUAUGACUAUACCGUGUACCUGUGACCAUGAGGUGUUUAGUGCUUGUUUGUAUUGCGGCGUGUGUGAGUACUGCUUCGGCGGCGGCGGCGUCUUGUCUCGCUGAAGACUUCUUCAAGAAACAUAAUAUAUCAGCUGAUGACAGUCAUGAGCCAGGUACAGUUGUGUAGAAAUAAAUUAAGGAUUUAUUGGGGUGUGUAUGGUAAUACAGGUAAUCCAAAAA